GACGAACGCUGGCGGCGUGCUUAACACAUGCAAGUCGAACGGAAAGGCCCUGCUUUUGUGGGGUGCUCGAGUGGCGAACGGGUGAGUAACACGUGAGUAACCUGCCCUUGACUUUGGGAUAACUUCAGGAAACUGGGGCUAAUACCGGAUAGGAGCUCCUGCUGCAUGGUGGGGGUUGGAAAGUUUCGGCGGUUGGGGAUGGACUCGCGGCUUAUCAGCUUGUUGGUGGGGUAGUGGCUUACCAAGGCUUUGACGGGUAGCCGGCCUGAGAGGGUGACCGGCCACAUUGGGACUGAGAUACGGCCCAGACUCCUACGGGAGGCAGCAGGGGGGAAUAUUGCACCAUGGGCGGAAGCCUGAUGCAGCAACGCCGCGUGCGGGAUGACGGCCUUCGGGUUGUAAACCGCUUUCGCCUGUGACGAAGCGUGAGUGACGGUAAUGGGUAAAGAAGCACCGGCUAACUACGUG
rnacentral:rRNA from 1 species